rnacentral:rRNA from 1 species
AUUGAACGCUGGCGGCAUGCUUUACACAUGCAAGUCGAACGGUAACAGGCCGCAAGGUGCUGACGAGUGGCGAACGGGUGAGUAAUGCAUCGGAACGCGCCCAGUCGUGGGGGAUAACUACUCGAAAGAGUAGCUAAUACCGCAUACGAUCUAUGGAUGAAAGCGGGGGACCGUAAGGCCUCGCGCGAUUGGAGCGGCCGAUGUCAGAUUAGGUAGUUGGUGGGGUAAAGGCUCACCAAGCCAACGAUCUGUAGCUGGUCUGAGAGGACGACCAGCCACACUGGGACUGAGACACGGCCCAGACUCCUACGGGAGGCAGCAGUGGGGAAUUUUGGACAAUGGGCGCAAGCCUGAUCCAGCCAUGCCGCGUGCAGGAAGAAGGCCUUCGGGUUGUAAACUGCUUUUGUACGGAACGAAACGGCUCUGGUUAAUACCCGGGGCUAAUGACGGUACCGUAAGAAUAAGCACCGGCUAACUACGUG